rnacentral:rRNA from 1 species
GAGUUGAUCCUGGCUCAAUGAACGCUGGCGGCAGGCCUACACAUGCAAGUCGAGCGGUACAGAGAGAACUGCUUCUCUGCUGACGAGCGGCGGACGGGUGAGUACCCCGUAGGAUUCUACCAAUAUGUGGGGGAUACCCCAGAAAAUGGGCUAAAAUCAGCGUAUACCGCCAUAGGGGGGAGAGGAGGUCAUCUUAGCACCCUCCGUUAUAUGAUCGAUCCUUCGUAAGAUUAGCUAGUUGGUGAGGUAAUGGCUCACCAAAGCGACGACCUUUAGCUGGUCUGAGAGGAUGAUCAGCCACACUGGGACUGAGACACGGCCCAGACUCCUACGGGAGGCAGCAGUGGGGAAUAUUGGACAAUGGGGGGAACCCUGAUCCAGCCAUGCCGCGUGUGUGAAGAAGGCCUUCGGGUUGUAAAGCACUUUCAGAUGUGAGGAAAGGUGAGUAGUUAAUACCUGCUUACUGUGACGUUAGCAUCAGAAGAAGGACCGGCUAACUCCGUGCCAGCAGCCGCGGUAAUACGGAGGGUCCGAGCG